rnacentral:lncRNA from 12 species
GUGGGGCAAGGAUAAUAAGAAUUAGGCAGGGCUUUUCUUGUCCAGACCUCCUUACUCAUCAGGGAAACACGGCUCCCAAGUCAUCCAGAACACUAUGGGAACAUGAAGUGAAGUCGAGGAGGUUGUUAGGGAAUAAUGGCAUGUAAUGACGUAGUGGAGCAAUAAAUAAAAGAGCAAUCAGAGAAUUCACAAGAAUUGAAUGUACGUUGCUACAUUUACAUGACGACAGACUUCAAUGACAUGGAUGAAUAAAUAUGCACCAUGCGAAGAUUAACAGAAUUUCUGAACCAGAAAUGUGAAAAAGAGGAGAGGAAGAAAGUAUGAUAAGACACUGUAGGGGAGAUGACAAGAAGAGGAAAAGAUAAUAAGGAUCAUAUUGGCCAAGUUAAACUCAAUAACCCUCCCUCCCACAUAAACAACAUAAACAGCUGGAAGCUGAAGAACCUCACAGGUCAUCAAAAUAUCAGAAUCUCAG